UACGUAGGGGGCAAGCGUUGUCCGGAAUCACUGGGCGUAAAGCGCACGUAGGCGGCUUCUUAAGUCAGGGGUGAAAUCCUGGAGCUCAACUCCAGAACUGCCUUUGAUACUGAGGAGCUUGAGUCCGGGAGAGGUGAGUGGAACUGCGAGUGUAGAGGUGAAAUUCGUAGAUAUUCGCAAGAACACCAGUGGCGAAGGCGGCUCACUGGCCCGGUACUGACGCUGAGGCGCGAAAGCGUGGGGGAGCAAACAGG
rnacentral:rRNA from 1 species